rnacentral:sRNA from 1 species
AUUCAGUCGCCCAUUUGGAGGGAGGAAUCCCUUCCUCCCGGUGAUCCUUACUCAUAUUCUAGCCACCAACCACGGUUAGUGCCUGCGGAUUGCCGUGCAGGGUAGGUUUCGAAUCUGGGACAGCGGAUGGUGAACGUUACAGUGAGAGUCAUUUGGAAGAUGCCUUAGGGUUGGCCGAGCCGAGCUGCUGCCCUUGACUGGUGCUCAGGGGACCACAGCUGCAAUGACAGUUUGGGCCUGCAAAAAGAAGGCUGGAACAACGGGAGAUGGAAGCUUUCUGCAAAUGCAGCACCACUGGUAUCCAUGAAUUUAACCUGCCCAUCAUUCUUCCUAGACAAGAGACUAUUGAAAAGUCAGGGUGAGUAGUUUAUUACCAUCUCAGUAUUAAUCCAAUCUCUCAGCUGGUUCUACUGACUCAGGUUCCUAAGAAAGCAGGGGUGCCUUUCUAUCUUGUAUCCAGGGC